CAUAUUGGCCUUUGGCCAUGUGCGGGGUAACUAUUUGGGGCCUUUUUGAGCUACACUGUUUUCUAUUUUAUUUAUAUUUUUAAAUAUUUUUAGUUUAAUUUCAUUCAUUAUAAAAGAUAACUUUUGCUAAUAAAUUUGUAGUUAGGAAUAUCAUAAUAAAUUAAAAUUCUUAAAAGUCCAAUAUAAUUUUUAAAAAGCCCCCCUUUCUUAUAUGAUAUCAUUUAAUAGAAUACAUGUCAUAACCAGAAUUGUUUAUUCUUUUUGCCAUCGUUUAAAAUCAUCUAUUUUUCAUUCCAUUUGAAGACUAUUUAGUCAUCCAUUUCAAAAAGAAAAUUAUAGUACAACUACACCUACUGUUAGAUUAAUUUGGUUUAAUUGUUGAAAUUUUAACUAACUCGACAAUCAACAGGAGAGGGGGAAAAGUAUCAUCCUCACUCUAGGGUGUGAGGAAAAAUGCAAUAAAAAAGGUUCAUUAUAAGAUGCUACUAAUAUCAUAACUAGUUAUUAGUUUAGCACAUAAAUUUUUCUCGAAAUAAACUCUAGAUGAUAAUAAGAGCAUUAAUGGUUCUGAUCAUGGUAUUUGUAUUUGUAUGGUGAUAUGAUAGGUACAUAGUCAUCACACCAUACUUUUGAAUUUAAAAAGUAAGAAGAUUUGAAUAAAAAAUAUAGAGAACACAAAUAGGUACAUGACCACCACAUUAUGCUUCAUUUUUCUUUAUUUUCUUUAUUUAUUUAUUUAGGCAUUAUAUCUAUUUAUAUACAAUAAAAAAUAUAAAAGAAAAUAUAACAACCAAAACUUUUUAAACCAUGUAAGGGCCUCCGUUUGAGUCUUACUCAUGACCUCCAAAAUCUCAUGACCAACCCUAAAGAGGAGCAUGCGAAAGGUACAUAGAUGUGUGUGGAUAGCGUUACCUUAAAGAAUAAGGUAUCAUUACCAUUUGAUUUGAACAAUAAAUUGUAGAGUAAUACUAAAUAGACUAAAAUUGCAAAUUAAAUGAUGCGUCACCAGUAAGAAAUAAGUACAUUAAUCAACACUUAAAUAAUAAUCCAAUUAUCAACUUCCAUAUCAUUUAGUUUACAAAAAUUAGUCUACACAUUUAGUUUCCUUAGCAUUACCCUAAGUUGUAAUACAAUAAGGUCCAACUAUAAUAAACUACAAUUAAUUAACAUGCUUAUUUCCUGUUAGUGACACAUCACAUUGUUUAUAAAUUUGGUCAAAAAAAUUGAUCUACGUAACAUUACUCAUACAUUUCAUUUACAAAUGAAGAAUAAUUAAGAAAAAUACACUUAUCGACUUGCAUCAAGUCUCUUGUCUCUUUGUUACGCAGUUCCAUGCAUAAAAAUUUCAUUUGGACAACGAGAAGUGAUGAAGUCAAAUUCCAUAUGAUCCAUACCAAUGUCCCAGAAGUCGUCACUUGGAUAGCCAAACUCAUAAGAGGAUCCAGAAAUAUCACUUCACACAAUGGUGAAGCGAAGACAAUUUAAACGCAUUUGAUGAUCUUCUUCAACUGGAGCCACUGGCACAUCAACAUUGUUGUUCUCGUGCACAGUUGUUUGAUGAUCCUCUUCGGUUUGGACACCUUCUUGAUUGUUGGUGCUAGGACUUGCAUCCAUAACGCAAAUGUUGACCGCAAUGUUCUCUGUUGUUUGCUAAUUAUACUCUAAAACUCGCGGUACAACAAACAAGUCGAUCCCAAAAUCGUGCAAAGGAUCAUAAGGUAAUCUUGGGGGCAACCGGUUGUGCGUUGUUGGAUAAGUUAAUUGUCGCAUAGCAUCCCUUCUAGCUCGGAGAGUCCAACGUCGUAAAUAAUCCAUGUCGUCCAAUUGUAAGUGGAGCCAUACUCCUCCAUCCUUUACUUCUGGGAUAUGGUAAUGGAAUUCUGCUUCUCUCUAAGAAAUAUUCAAAACAAGAAAAUUAAUAUUAUACUUAGAAAAAGGCAUAAAUAACAUGCCAAAAAUGAAAACCUCCAACAAGUAAAGGGAUAAAUGUGGAAAUCAAUAUAUAGAAAAAUUAAAACAACGACAUUUAAAUUGAGUAAAUAGAAAAACAAUUACGGUAUCAAAGCUCCUUACUCAAAGUUUGAAAGGGAUCGAUAGCAGUUUAUUUUUGGGUGCUUUAGAUUUUGACCCUUGCAACUCAUUAUUUCUAGAUAAAAACUCAUCUAUCUUUAAAGAUCCAGUUUAAUCCCAAAUUUAAAAUUUGCAAACAUAUGGGAACACUAUUAACUUAUUAAUACAAUUUAUUUACACCCACGCCACUCAUACUUUAUGAUCUCUUUUUCAAAUUCCUAAAUUUAUGCCAAAUUAAAAGUAGUAGAAAAAGUGAAAUAAAAUGUACAAAUUGUAUCCAUGUCAAACUAUAAAAGUAGUUUUUUUUUUCGUGAUAUAUUUUGUAGCAAUUUUAUCUAUAUUAAUUGGUUGGUAAAUUAGUUUGUUCCAAUUAUUUAAAAAAUAUACUACACCUAUAUUAUAUAUUUUGAAUCAAAUAACAUUCCUCAAACUUGUAGGUAAAUUGUUUUCUAUGUAUUAUUAUAUAUGUUAAACACGUUUUGUUGUUGUAUAAACAUAAGUGGAACAUAAUAUUGUUGAUUUUAUACAUCAAACUGCAUUUUUUUUUGUUAUAGGUAAAUUAUUUUUCAUACAAGUACUUAUGUUAGGCACGUUUUGUUGUUGGUACAUACAAUAUUUUGUAUCAUUGUAAAGAAAGAUAUUACAUUACACCCAUGGUAUAAUUGUUGUAGGUAAAUUAUUGGAAAUUAAUUUGUAGUUAGGUAAUGAACAUUUUGCAUCAUUGGAAAUGAACAUUUCAAAUAGUAGGUAGGUAAAUUAAUUUGUUCUAAUUAUAUUAAAAGAAAUUACACUACACCUAGUUAUAUUUAAUUUUUCCAAUUACUAAAAAAAUUUAUACCACACCCAACCAAAUAACAUUUCUCUAACUUGUAGAUAAAUUAUUUUCCUUGUAUUGUUAAAUAUGUUAGGCACGUUUUAUUGUUGUAUAAACAUGGGUGUAACAUAUCGAACUACAUUUCUUUUUAAUAUAGGUAAAUUAUUUUCCAUGUAUUAGUACACAUGUUAGGCACAGUAUUUUGCAUCAUUGUAAAAUAGAGAUAUUAUAUUACACCCAUGGUAUAAUUGUUGUAGGUAAAUUAAUGUGCAUGCAGAUAAUGAAAUAUAGUGUUCUAAUAUAUUAAUAAAAAAAUGAUAAAUUCAAAAGUAUUCAAGAGUAGGGUGAAAAAACUAAAUUGAAUAGUUUUAUGAAAAUUCAAAGCCUUUCUAAAAAAAUAUUAUGCAAUAAAUUUUUAACAUUAAUGUCUUGUUUUUUAUUAUUGCAAAAUCAUUUACUCUCUCUUACAAUUAAUUGUCUACAUCAAAUAUGUAAUAGGGGUAUUUUAGGCAUGUGAAAAAUGUAAAAUGUGUGAACUAAUAUGAAAUUAAUGAAUUUGCUUAUGUGGAUGAGUAAAAAAAAUAUGUAGGGUUUUAUACGAAGAAAAUUGAGUUUGAAGAGCUAAAAUCAUAUUUUCAGUUUAUUUUUUUAGCCCCUUACUAUAUAUAAUACGUCAUUGUUUAAAUUUUUUUUUUGCAAAAGGCAUUAAUGUUUAGUGAAAAGAAAAAAAUGUGAAAGAGGGCAAUAUCUAAAAAAAAUUUCUUUGAGAAAAACCCACAAAUUAAUAUGUAUUUGAAAAAACCUAUUCGACCUUACCUGACGUAGAGACAGAGGAGGAUCAAUCGAGACAGGCGAUUCGUGAGAAGCUGGUUGUUGAACCAGCUGGUGAGCGAUUCGUGAGAAGCUGGUUGUUGAACCAGCUGGUCAUCCUCAGGGUUCAUUUGAUACUGCUUUCGUCUACGCAUACGCCCGCCAUAUCUGCUUCUUUUGGUCGAAUUAAAGUUAGCUGCAGCUGUAAACUUGUUCUUGAAAACAUCGAACAUUUUUUGUUCUUAAUUAAUUUUCCGAAAAAAUAUAUGAACUUGUAACGCUCCCCAUGCAAACUGUUUUCUCUCGAAAACUCUCACACUCGGUGCAGUUUGGGAUUGAGGUGAUUAAAAAAAAAAUUGUUAUAAAAAAAAGUUGGGAGUUUUUUUGUGUUUGGUAAAUAUUCAGCUUCAAUUUUUUUUUCACGGUUUUGGAUAAAAAAAAA